UACGGAGGGGGCUAGCGUUGUUCGAAAUUACUGGGCGUAAAGCGCACGUAGGCGGCUUUGUAAGUUAGAGGUGAAAGCCUGGAGCUCAACUGCAGAAUUGCCUUUAAGACUGCAUCGCUUGAAUCCAGGAGAGGUGAGUGGAAUUCCGAGUGUAGAGGUGAAAUGCAUAGAUAUUCGGAAGAACACCAAUGGCGAAGGCGGCUGACUGGACUUGUAUUGACGCUGAGGUACGAAAGCGUGGGGAGCAAACAGG
rnacentral:rRNA from 1 species